rnacentral:misc_RNA from 1 species
GUGAAGAACGUAGCGAAAUGCGAUAAGUAAUGUGAAUUGCAGAAUUCAGUGAAUCAUCGAAUCUUUGAACGCACAUUGCGCCCGCCAGUAUUCUGGCGGGCAUGCCUGUUCGAGCGUCAUUUCAACCAUCAAGCCCCAGGCUUGUGUUGGGGACCUGCGGCUGCCGCAGGCCCUGAAAACCAGUGGCGGGCUCGCUGUCACACCGGGCGUAGUAGAUUUUAUCUCGCUCAGGGCGUGCUGCGGGUUCCGGCCGUUAAAAAGCCUUUUUUACCCAAGGUUGACCUCGGAUCAGGUAGGAAUACCCGCUGAACUUAAGCAUAUCAAUAAGCGGAGGA